UACGGGGGGGGCAAGCGUUGUUCGGAAUUAAUGGGAGUAAAGGGUGCGUAGGCGGCUUUAUAAGUAAGACGUGAAAUCCCCAGGCUUAACUUGGGAACUGCGUCUGAUACUGGAAGGCUUGAGUGCGGGAGAGGGAUGUGGAAUUCCAGGUGUAGCGGUGAAAUGCGUAGAUAUCUGGAGGAACACCGGUGGCGAAGGCGGCAUCCUGGACCGACACUGACGCUGAGGCGCGAAAGCCAGGGGAGCAAACGGG
rnacentral:rRNA from 1 species